rnacentral:rRNA from 1 species
UGAGUACGAGACGCUAAGGCGUCGAGGUAGUGGAUGUCAUACUUCCAAGAAAAGCUUGCACUGUCAUAAGUAAAAAACGCCUGUACCAUAACCGACACAGGUGGGUAGGUAGAGUAUACUAAGGGGCGCGAGAUAACUCUCUCUAAGGAACUCGGCAAAAUGACUCCGUAACUUCGGGAGAAGGAGUGCCUUAUUCGUAAGGCUGCAAUAACAAGAUCCAAGCAACUGUUUAUCAAAAACACAGGUCUCCGCUAAGUCGUAAGACGAUGUAUGGGGGCUGACGCCUGCCCAGUGCCAGAAGGUUAAAGAAGUCGGUUAGCAUUAGCGAAGCUGGUAACUGAAGCCCUGGUGAACGGCGGCCGUAACAAUAACGGUCCUAAGGUAGCGAAAUUCCUUGUCGGGUAAGUUCCGACCCGCACGAAAGGCGUAAUGAUUUGGAUACUGUCUCGGAGAGGGGCUCGGUGAAAUAGACUUGUCUGUGAAGAUGCGGACUACCUGCACCAGGACAGAAAGACCCUAUGAAGCUUUACUGUAACUUGAAAUUGAAAUUGGACUUUAUUCGCGCAGUAUAGGUGGGAGGUGUUGAUUAUAAUCUUGCGGGAUUAUUGGAGCCAUCAGUGAGAUACCACUCUUGUAAUGUUAGAUUUCUAACUUUGAAUCAUUAUCUGGUCAAAGAACAGUUUCAGGCGGGCAGUUUGACUGGGGCGGUCGCCUCCUAAAUGUAACGGAGGCGUACAAAGGUUUCCUCUGAACGGGUAGAAAUCGUAUCUAGAGUGUAAAGGCAUAAGGAAGCUUGACUGUGAGACCUACAAGUCGAGCAGGGACGAAAGUCGGUCUUAGUGAUCUGACGGUACUGAGUGGAAAGGCCGUCACUCAACGGAUAAAAGUUACUCUAAGGAUAACAGGCUGAUCUCCCCCAAGAGUUCACAUCGACGGGGAGGUUUGGCACCUCGAUGUCGGCUCAUCGCAUCCUGGGGCGGUAGUACGUCCCAAGGGUUGGGCUGUUCGCCCAUGAAAGCGGUACGCGAGCUGGGUUCAGAACGUCGUGAGACAGUUCGGUCCAUAUCCGGUGUAGGCGUUAGAAUAUUGAGAGGAGCCUUCUUUAGUACGAGAGGACCGAGAAGGACAUACCUCUGGUGUACCAGUUAUCGUGCCAACGGUAAACGCUGGGUAGCUAUGUAUGGAGUGGAUAACCGCUGAAAGCAUCUAAGUGGGAAGCCCACCUCAAGAUAAGUAUUCUCAUC